rnacentral:rRNA from 1 species
AACUUGAGAGUUUGAUCAUGGCUCAGAACGUACGCUGGCGGCACGCCUAACACAUGCAAGUCGAACGAAGUAGCAAUACUUAGUGGCAGACGGGUGAGUAACAUGUAGGUAUCUGCCCUUUGGCCUGGAAUAACACGAGGAAACUUGUGCUAAUACCGGAUAAGUCUUUACAGAGAAAGCUUUAUGCACCAUUGGAUGAGCCUGCACUUGAUUAGUUUGUUGGUGGGGUAAUGGCCUACCAAGACUGUGAUCAAUAGCUGAUUUGAGAGGAUGAUCAGCCACAUUGGGACUGAGACACGGCCCAAACUCCUACGGGAGGCAGCAGUGGGGAAUCUUGCACAAUGGAGGAAACUCUGAUGCAGCGAUGCCGCGUGAGUGAAGAAGGCCUUUGGGUUGUAAAGCUCUUUCGUCGGGGAAGAAAAUGACUGUACCCGAAUAAGAAGGUCCGGCUAACUUCGUGCCAGCAGCCGCGGUAAUACGAAGGGACCUAGCGUAGUUCGGAAUUACUGGGCUUAAAGAGUUCGUAGGUGGUUGAAAAAGUUGGUGGUGAAAUCCCAGAGCUUAACUCUGGAACUGCCAUCAAAACUUUUCAGCUAGAGUAUGAUAGAGGAAAGCAGAAUUUCUAGUGUAGAGGUGAAAUUCGUAGAUAUUAGAAAGAAUACCAAUUGCGAAGGCAGCUUUCUGGAUCAUUACUGACACUGAGGAACGAAAGCAUGGGUAGCGAAGAGGAUUAGAUACCCUCGUAGUCCAUGCCGUAAACGAUGUGUGUUAGACGUUGGAAAUUUAUUUUCAGUGUCGCAGCGAAAGCGAUAAACACACCGCCUGGGGAGUACGACCGCAAGGUUAAAACUCAAAUGAAUUGACGGGGACCCGCACAAGUAGUGGAGCAUGUGGUUUAAUUCGAAGAUACGCGCAGAACCUUACCAACACUUGACAUGUUCGUCGCGACUCUAAGAGAUUAGAGUUUUCGGUUCGGCCGGACGAAACACAGGUGCUGCAUGGCUGUCGUCAGCUCGUGUCGUGAGAUGUUGGGUUAAGUCCCGCAACGAGCGCAACCCUCACUUUUAGUUGCCAUCAUUAAGUUGGGCACUCUGAAAGAACUGCCAGUGAUAAGCUGGAGGAAGGUGGGGAUGACGUCAAGUCCUCAUGGCCCUUACGUGUUGGGCUACACACGUGCUACAAUGGUAUCUACAACAGGAAGCAAAACCGCGAGGUUAAGCAAAUCCUUAAAAGAUACCUCAGUUCGGAUUGCACUCUGCAACUCGAGUGCAUGAAGCUGGAAUUACUAGUAAUCGUGGAUCAGCGUGCCACGGUGAAUGCGUUCCCGGGUCUUGUACACACCGCCCGUCACACCAUGGGAGUUGGUUCUACCUUAAGGCAAGGUUUCAAACCCUUGACCACGGUAUAGUCAGCGACUGGGGUGAAGUCGUAACAAGGUAGCCGUAGGGGAACCUGCGGCUGGAUUACCUCCUU